rnacentral:rRNA from 1 species
AGAGUUUGAUCAUGGCUCAGGACGAACGCUGGCGGCGUGCUUAACACAUGCAAGUCGAACGGAAAGGCCCUUCGGGGUACUCGAGUGGCGAACGGGUGAGUAACACGUGAGUAACCUGCCCCUGACUCUGGAAUAACCUUCGGAAACGAGGGCUAAUGCCGGAUAUUCACCUCCUUCCGCAUGGCGGGUGGUGGAAAGUUUUUCGGUUGGGGAUGGGCUCGCGGCCUAUCAGCUUGUUGGUGGGGUGAUGGCCUACCAAGGCGGUGACGGGUAGCCGGCCUGAGAGGGUGUCCGGCCACACUGGGACUGAGACACGGCCCAGACUCCUACGGGAGGCAGCAGUGGGGAAUAUUGCGCAAUGGGCGAAAGCCUGACGCAGCGACGCCGCGUGAGGGAUGAAGGCCUUCGGGUUGUAAACCUCUUUCGGCAGGGACGAAGCGCAAGUGACGGUACCUGCAGAAGAAGCACCGGCCAACUACGUGCCAGCAGCCGCGGUAAUACGUAGGGUGCAAGCGUUGUCCGGAUUUAUUGGGCGUAAAGAGCUCGUAGGCGGCUUGUCACGUCGUCUGUGAAAACUCAGGGCUUAACCCUGAGCUUGCAGGCGAUACGGGCUGGCUUGAGUGCGGUAGGGGAGACUGGAAUUCCUGGUGUAGCGGUGAAAUGCGCAGAUAUCAGGAGGAACACCGGUGGCGAAGGCGGGUCUCUGGGCCGUUACUGACGCUGAGAGCGAAAGCGUGGGGAGCGAACAGGAUUAGAUACCCUAGUAGUCC